CCGAGUUUACAACUCCCAAACCCCUGUGAACAUACCAAUUGUUGCCUCGGCGGAUCAGCCCGCUCCCGGUAAAACGGGACGGCCCGCCAGAGGACCCCUAAACUCUGUUUCUAUAUGUAACUUCUGAGUAAAACCAUGAAUAAAUCA
rnacentral:misc_RNA from 1 species